UUUUUUUUUUUUUCAUUCUUUCUUUCUUUCCUCUAUGUUUUUAAAGCAACAUCUAAGUACUUCAGCUUAUUCCUUGGCAACUUCUAUCUUGCUUGGAUUACCAUCAAUAAUGGUGUUAACACAGAGUGAUUACUGCCAAAAACUCAGGUUCUGUGGCACCAGUGGCCUUCCUGGUCAUCAAGCCAGUGCACCUGCUACUGGUGCAGAAUCAGUCUGUUGAUAAAACUAUAAUCCCCUCAUGGUUCACCAGUUUAGCUUUGAAAGCAACCACAGGCAUGUAGCAGUGUUUCAUGGAAAGAAUGAGGACAUUCCCAGGAAUAUUUUUUUCCCAUAAGCUUUCUUCUGCAUUUUCCUAAUCCAUGAACAAUUAUUUUCACACAUCUCAGAACUAGUAUGGGGGGAAGUGAGUCUCCAAACAGGAGCUAAGACUCAAAUAACUUAUUCCCUUUCCAAGACACUUCAGAUGUCAACAUGAACAUGUCUAUAUUAAUUUCAUUAGGGAUGUGUAUUAGGAGGUAUUUGGGGCAAAAUUUCUCUCAAAUGUAAAACUCAAAUCUGAAAAUUUCGUAGCUGCUUACAUUUUCUACUUGAAUGUAAUAAUAGCAUUCAAAAUGUUGUCAUCAUUGAAUGGGAUUUCCCUCUACCUACCUCUCAGCAAAUCUUGGCCUGUUUUCAAACUCAAAAGAAGUCUAAAGUUUGAAUUGCUGUUGGGGAAUCACAGUUCAGAUAAUAAAAUAAUUUUCUAAAAAGUUGUAUGUAUGUUCUGAAUGCUUAAUGCUCCCAUUAAAAGAAACUUGUCUAAAACCACAUUUACUAUAUAAUUCCUCACUCUUAGGGAAAUACUAUGGCUUAUGAGUGUGUUAACAUAUAUUAAUUUAGGGGCUUAAUAAAACAUUGAUAGUUCAUGUCACCAUAAAAUAUAGACUGCAUUCUGAUAGCGCAGAAACCUAUGAAGAUAGGUCAUUUCCAUUUAUUGCUUGAAUAGGAAGAUGUACAGACUACCAUGCUUAUAAAGUAGAUGCCUUCUCAAACAUAAACACAAGAUCCAAAAAAUAAAUUACUUUUAUAUAUUAAACUAUUACUAAUUAAGAUUUAAAGCAUUGAUGUAUAUGUAUACAUAUGCAUGUAUAUACACUUAUAUUUAGUAUACAUCUAUAUCAUAUAUGUUCAUGAACAUGUUUACAUAUUAUAUGUUUUAUGUUACUAUAUGUUUAUAGGGUGUAAUACAUAGCAGCAUAAUAAAUAAAUGUAGAAUAAAAUUGAAAACAUCUCAGAAAAGAGACACAAUCUAUUUGAAAAUUAUUUUAGAAUAUUCAAGACUUAAGUGUUUGCAUAAACAAAAAUAGCAUAACCAAAAUAAAGUUAAUUCAAUCUAACUCUCUUAUAAUCAAAUGCAUACUUAUCAGUCUUUCCUUGGCCUUUUCAAAUGGGUUUGUCUUACUGUUUGUUGAGGAAAAUUCAUUUUUGGCAAAGAUUUUAUACAUAAGAAAUCUGAUUUAUUCAUAUAAAAUUAGAAUUUAAAGAUCACUUCUUUCCAUGAUUGUUUUGUUGCCUGUAAGACUUCCAAAUGAAGGAGAUGGUUUAAACAUAUGGAUGGGGUUAAGAUGCCAUCUGUACCCUGCAUGGGAUCUCAUACAUACUAAAUAUUGCGAUAGCUUUGAAACAAUACUUCCUCUAUCUGAAGAGCAGAAAAAUUGGGUACUCAGGCCUUAGUUAGAAAAACUCAAAUUAUUAUUACCAAGAAGCUGCCAGGAUAUAAUCUAUAAAUAUUAGCAUAUUUAUGUAGAAGAUAUUCUAGAAAACAUCCCUUUGUAAAACUGAUGGAAUCAUUAGAACCAUAAAUUUAAGGGUGAAAAUUUUUGAUUUAACUCAUCAUAUAUGUAUAAAUUAAGUCUGGUAAGGAAAAAAAGCAACAUCAUAUUAAGUAUACUGGUUGAUAUUUUAAAAAGAAAAUUAAUUCCAGAUUUUAUAUGGCAGGAUAAACAUCAUUAUUACAAUUUCUUUUUUAUGCUCUAAAUAGAGGCACUUAGCUGUGUCAUAAUUUGCUGCAAACCAUUAAAUUAGCCCAUACUUACCUUAAAAUAUAAAUAUUAGAUGCAAACCAAUAGAGUGAGAAUUCUUCCUCCAGAUAUAUUUAUAUAUAUAUAUAUAAUUUUUUUUGUCUUUUUGCUAUUUCUUGGGCCACUCCCACGGCAUAUGGAGGCCCUAAAAAGAUAAAAGACAAAAAAAAAAAAAAGAAAAGAAAAGAAAAGAUGCUGAUAUGAUUUCAAUUUUCUUAAAUUUACCACGGCUUGCUUUGUGGUCCAGUAUGUGAUCUAUCCUGGAGAAUGUUCCACAUGCACUUGAAAAUGCAGACAUAGAUUUUAAUAUAAUUCACCAUUCAUUUAUGAUAAAAACUCUCCAGAAAGUGGGCAUAGAAGGAACUUACCUCAACAUAAUAAUGGCCAUAUAUGACAAACCCACAACUAACAAAAUUCUUAGUGGGAAAAAUCUGAAACUAUUUCCUCUAAGAUCAAGAAAAAGACAAAGAUAUUCACUUUUUCCCCUUUUGUUCAAUAUAGUUUUGGAAAUCCUAGCCACAGCAAUCAGAGAGGAAAAAUAAAUAAAAGAAAUCCAAAUUAGAAAAGGAGAAGUGAAACUGUCACUAUUUGCAAAUGAUAUAAUACUACACAUAGAAAAUCCUAUAGAUGAUGCCAGUAAACCAUUAGAGAUCAUAAAUGAAUUUUAUAAAGUUUCAGGAUACAAAAUUAAUAAACAGAAAUCAGUUGCAUUUCUAUAUAGUAACAAUGAAAGAUCAGAAAGCAAAAUGAAGGAAAUAGUAUCAUUUAUCUUUUCAUGAAAAAGCAUAAAGUACCUAGAAAUAAAUUUACCUAAGGAGGCAAAAGACAUGUACUCUGAAAACUUUAAGAUGUUGAUGAAAAAAUCAAGGAUGACACAAACAGAUGGAAAGAUAUACCACAUUCUUGGAUUAGAAAAAUCAAUAUUGUCAAAAUGGAUAUACUACUGAAGACAAUCUAUAGACUCCAUGUGAUCCCUAUUAAAUUAUCAAUGGCAUUUUUCACAGAACUAGAACAAAAAUCUUUAAAUGUGUAUAGAAAUGCAAAAUAUCUUGAAUAGUAAAAGCAAUCUUAAGAAAGAAAAACAAGCUGGAGGAAUUAGGGUCUCUUACUUCAAACUAUACCACCAAGCUAGUUAUUAAAACAGCAUGGUACUGGGACAAAGCUGAAAUACAGAUCAAUGGAACAGGACAGAAAGCCCAGGAAAAAAACCUAUGCACUUAUGGUCGAUUAAUCUAUGACAAAGGAGGCAAGAAUACACAACACAAAAGUACAAUCUCUUCAAUAAGUAGUGCAGGGAAAACUGGACAGCUACAUAUCCAAAAUAAACAAAUAAACAAAUGGGACCUAAUUAAACUUAAAAUCUUUUGCACAGUAAAGGAAAUUAUAAACAAAACAAAAAUACGACCUACAGAAUGGAAGAAGAUAUUUGCCAACAAUUCAACCAACAAAGGAUUAAGUUUUAAAAUACACAAACAGCUUAUACAGCUCAAUAUUGAAAAAAACAAAACCCCAACCGAAAAUGAGCAGAAGCUCUAAGCAGACACUUCUCCAAAGGUGACACAGAGAGAUGGCCAAAAAGGCACAUGAAAAGAUGCCCAAUGUCACAGAUCAUUGGAGAAAUGCAAAUGAAAACUACAAUGUGGUUUCACUUCAUGCUGCUCAGGAAUGGCCAUCAUCAUGAAGUCUAGAAAUACUAGAUUCUGGGGAGGGUGUGGAUAAUAAGGUACCCAUCCUACACUGUCGGU
rnacentral:lncRNA from 1 species